rnacentral:rRNA from 1 species
UAACCUGCCCAAGAGAUCGGGAUAACACCUGGAAACAGAUGCUAAUACCGGAUAACAACAGAUGAUGCCUAUCAACUGUUUAAAAGAUGGUUCUGCUGUCACUCUUGGAUGGACCUGCGGUGCAUUAGCUAGUUGGUAGGGUAACGGCCUACCAAGGCGAUGAUGCAUAGCCGAGUUGAGAGACUGAUCGGCCACAUUGGGACUGAGACACGGCCCAAACUCCUACGGGAGGCAGCAGUC